UACGAAGGGGGCUAGCGUUGCUCGGAAUCACUGGGUUUAAAGGGUGUGUAGGCGGGCUGUUAAGUCAGUGGUGAAAUCUCCGGGCUCAACCCGGAAACUGCCAUUGAUACUAUCAGUCUUGAAUACCGUUGAGGUGGGCGGAAUAUGUCAUGUAGCGGUGAAAUGCAUAGAUAUAACAUAGAACACCGAUUGCGAAGGCAGCUCACUAAACGGUCAUUGACGCUGAGGCACGAAAGCGUGGGGAUCAAACAGG
rnacentral:rRNA from 1 species